CAGUCGCCGCGGUAAUACGUAGGGUGCAAGCGUUAAUCGGAAUUACUGGGCGUAAAGCGUGCGCAGGCGGUUUGUUAAGACAGAUGUGAAAUCCCCGGGCUUAACCUGGGAACUGCAUUUGUGACUGGCAAGCUAGAGUACGGCAGAGGGGGGUGGAAUUCCGCGUGUAGCAGUGAAAUGCGUAGAUAUGCGGAGGAACACCGAUGGCGAAGGCAGCCCCCUGGGCCAAUACUGACGCUCAUGCACGAAAGCGUGGGGAGCAAACAGGAUUAGAUACCCCAGUAGUCCCUGUCUCUUAUAC
rnacentral:rRNA from 1 species